AGAGUUUGAUCCUGGCUCAGGAUGAACGCUAGCGACAGGCUUAACACAUGCAAGUCGAGGGGCAGCGGAGGCAGUAGCAAUACUGCCUGCCGGCGACCGGCGCACGGGUGAGUAACACGUAUGCAACCUACCCUUGUCAGGGGGAUAAGCCGGAGAAAUCCGGUCUAAUACCGCGUGACAUCGGGAUUCCGCAUGGGAUUCCGAUCAAAGGAAUUAUCCGGACAAGGAUGGGCAUGCGGCGCAUUAGCUUGUUGGCGGGGUAACGGCCCACCUAACCGACGAUGCGUAGGGGUUCUGAGAGGAAGGUCCCCCACACUGGUACUGAGACACGGGCCAGACUCCUACGGGAGGCAGCAGUGAGGAAUAUUGGUCAAUGGUCGGGAGACUGAACCAGCCAAGCCGCGUGAGGGAGGAAGGUACAGAGUAUCGUAAACCUCUUUUGUCAGGGAACAAAGGCGGGGACGUGUCCCCGGAUGAGUGUACCUGAAGAAAAAGCAUCGGCUAACUCCGUGCCAGCAGCCGCGGUAAUACGGAGGAUGCGAGCGUUAUCCGGAUUUAUUGGGUUUAAAGGGUGCGCAGGCGGUCUGUUAAGUCAGCGGUCAAAGCCCGGGGCUCAACCCCGGCCCGCCGUUGAAACUGGCAGUCUCGAGUUGGAGAGAAGUAUGCGGAAUGCGCGGUGUAGCGGUGAAAUGCAUAGAUAUCGCGCAGAACUCCGAUUGCGAAGGCAGCAUGCCGGCUCCACACUGACGCUGAGGCACGAAAGCGUGGGUAUCGAACAGGAUUAGAUACCCUGGUAGUCCACGCAGUAAACGAUGAAUGCUGGCUGUCCGGGGGGAUUGACCCCUGGGUGGCGAAGCGAAAGCGAUAAGCAUUCCACCUGGGGAGUACGCCGGCAACGGUGAAACUCAAAGGAAUUGACGGGGGCCCGCACAAGCGGAGGAACAUGUGGUUUAAUUCGAUGAUACGCGAGGAACCUUACCCGGGCUCAAACGGGGAGUGACUCAGGCAGAGACGCCUGUUUCCCACGGGACACUCCCCGAGGUGCUGCAUGGUUGUCGUCAGCUCGUGCCGUGAGGUGUCGGCUUAAGUGCCAUAACGAGCGCAACCCCCGCGUGCAGUUGCUAACAGAUAACGCUGAGGACUCUGCACGGACUGCCGGCGCAAGCCGCGAGGAAGGCGGGGAUGACGUCAAAUCAGCACGGCCCUUACGUCCGGGGCGACACACGUGUUACAAUGGGUGGUACAGCGGGAAGCCAGGCGGCGACGCCGAGCGGAACCCGAAAUCCACUCUCAGUUCGGAUCGGAGUCUGCAACCCGACUCCGUGAAGCUGGAUUCGCUAGUAAUCGCGCAUCAGCCAUGGCGCGGUGAAUACGUUCCCGGGCCUUGUACUCACCGCCCGUCA
rnacentral:rRNA from 1 species